rnacentral:rRNA from 1 species
CAGUGGGGAAUCUUGCGCAAUGGGCGAAAGCCUGACGCAGCCAUGCCGCGUGAAUGAUGAAGGUCUUAGGAUUGUAAAAUUCUUUCACCGGGGACGAUAAUGACGGUACCCGGAGAAGAAGCCCCGGCUAACUUCGUGCCAGCAGCCGCGGUAAUACGAAGGGGGCUAGCGUUGCUCGGAAUUACUGGGCGUAAAGGGAGCGUAGGCGGACAGUUUAGUCAGAGGUGAAAGCCCAGGGCUCAACCUUGGAAUUGCCUUUGAUACUGACUGUCUUGAGUAUGGGAGAGGUUAGCGGAACUCCGAGUGUAGAGGUGAAAUUCGUAGAUAUUCGGAAGAACACCAGUGGCGAAGGCGGCUAACUGGCCCAUUACUGACGCUGAGGCUCGAAAGCGUGGGGAGCAAACAGGAUUAGA